ACACACAACUUGGAUAUCAACAGGGAGCAGAAAACAAACCCACUAGCAGGACCAAAAGGCAGACCCAUCAGCAGAACACAGGCGGCAGCUUCCACAAGUAACUCCAAAACUGAAAGUCAAAUCCAGGAGAAGACUGAGGAAGCUCCAUUUUCUUUGAGCACUUAAUUGUAAAUUAAGAUUUGCUGAUGAUGAUGGGCUAAUUUAAGCUACCGUGGAAAGAGGGAAGAAAUGGAAGCUGCUGAUCGUAGGAAGCAGUACCUGUACUGCGCAGGGUUGCAGUGACCUAACACCAAGAAAUAAAAACUCUGGAAAACUAGCCCUUCACAUAUGGAAGGUAUGAUUACCCCCGGGUAUGGGAGCCCCUGGGAGAACUUUCACUGGGUCCAUGGGUUUAACCUGAGGUGAGAAAGCAGCAGUCACCCAGGAAGGUGGUUGACUUUCAAGAGCACUUGGCAACAGUGAGGGAAGGCACAUGGGGAGUUGCGGGAUGAUGUCAGCAUGUAGUAAGAGGGGAACUCUGAAAUGUCCAAGGCCAGCCCAAGCAAACGGCGCUAUCUCCACGUGGUGCCCUGGUCUGGAGAGGGAAGGAAGAAGGCUAGGCUAUGUUUUGCCAAGCCAAGACUUAUCACAGAGGAAGCUUUCCUCAAUCCCUUCCACUGGUAGCAAAGGCCCUGGAUCCCUGUCUUCUGCCAAGAUGGUGCCAAAUAGCUCAACCAUACAAAGGAAAUGGAUAUAAAACUUAAUUGGGACCCAGAGACAUCUAAUCUCUAAGUUAAAGCACCACUCCUUUUACUCAUAACCAUUGGAGGCAUCCCAAAGUCUAGAAAAGCCGAAAUGACCCUCAAUUCAUAUUCUGGUGUUAUUUAACCCAC
ensembl:lncRNA novel transcript, antisense to GNAS